AUGAUAAAAGGAAAUGGUGUUCUUCCUUACCCAACCGCUUUACAUAAGCUGAUGACGCCUGAUUAAUA
rnacentral:ncRNA from 2 species